rnacentral:miRNA from 1 species
CAUCAUGCUUUUCCACAGCUUUCUUGAACUUCUUUUAUUGUUUCAAGAAUACCAAAGAAGCUCAAGAAUGCUGUGGGAAGACAUGGCAA